AUUGAACGCUGGCGGCAUGCCUUACACAUGCAAGUCGAACGGUAACAGGUCUUCGGAUGCUGACGAGUGGCGAACGGGUGAGUAAUACAUCGGAACGUGCCCGAUCGUGGGGGAUAACGAAGCGAAAGCUUUGCUAAUACCGCAUACGAUCUACGGAUGAAAGCGGGGGAUCUUCGGACCUCGCGCGGACGGAGCGGCCGAUGGCAGAUUAGGUAGUUGGUGGGAUAAAAGCUUACCAAGCCGACGAUCUGUAGCUGGUCUGAGAGGAUGAUCAGCCACACUGGGACUGAGACACGGCCCAGACUCCUACGGGAGGCAGCAGUGGGGAAUUUUGGACAAUGGGCGCAAGCCUGAUCCAGCCAUGCCGCGUGCAGGAUGAAGGCCUUCGGGUUGUAAACUGCUUUUGUACGGAACGAAAAGGUGCCUUCUAAUAAAGGGCGCUCAUGACGGUACCGGAAGAAUAAGCACCGGCUAACUACGUG
rnacentral:rRNA from 1 species